AACGCCGCGUGGAGGAUGACGCAUUUCGGUGUGUAAACUCCUUUUAAGAGGGAAGAUUAUGACGGUACCUCUUGAAUAAGCACCGGCUAACUCCGUGCCAGCAGCCGCGGUAAUA
rnacentral:rRNA from 1 species